GAACUCAUCUCGAGCCUCCUGGUUUUCAAACCAACAUGCACACAAGUCCAAACAUAUAAUAUGAACCGCUGGAAAGCCUUAGAUCAAACAACGGAACAUAUAUGCUCAAAAAGAGAGGUCAGGUUGUUACAUUAAUCAACCGCAUAUGUUUUGGACUUAAUAGGAGUGAAAAAUACUACGGUUCUGCAUUCUCUAAAUGUAGUGUGGCUGUUUCCAAUUUCUGAGUCGAACCGUAAAUCUACAUUAAAGUAGUUGUCACACCUCCAAAGGCUGGAGUUUAGGAGGCCAAUAUUGUGGUUGUGAUAGCGACCUAGAUCCUUGGGAGUGCUCUGAAACAUAGGGCCUGGGAAGAAUUCCAUCACCUCAAGUGAUGGCUUUCCAUUAGAGCCAUUGACACUCAUCUUCUUCAUUAUUGUCGACGCCGAAUCAUCCAAUUUCGUGUCGAUUUUGGUAGUAGCCGAGCAUUGGUGUCUCCGAUCUUAGAAUUUUUAUCUCAAGCAAGGGCAGAUUUAUAGGCAAAAAUAUGGGGUACAUGAACUGCAGCUUGUUACAGAGUGCAGCAUAUCUUGAGAAUUUGGUCAUUGACUGGAAAACUCGCAACCCAAAGAGUGGCGGAGUUCCUACAACCAAUCAGGGAUCUCCAUUGGGUGCAAAGCAUAAAAUAGAAGUUUCUAUACUUAGGGUUCAUAAUGGAUGAUAAUGAUGAUUAGAAGAAGUUUGAGACAAGUGUUUUUAAUUGCUCGCUGCUACAUUUGAAGACCAUAAUUAUUCACUUUCAUGGACUGCUAAGUGUAAAUGGAUUUGUGCUGCCAUUGGUGAAGUAUUUGCUCAAGAAUGCGGAUGUGCUGGAGAAGUUAACUUUUGCUGCCAAAAUUGAAGAGAUUGAUAUGAUUCAGGCUUAUUUUGAAAGCUUUCCAAGGUCCCCUCCAAAUGCUUCAAUUGUCUAUAUUCAUUGACCCUUUUAUACUUGUAAGUUGUAUAGUAUAGUUAGUGUACAGCAGCUUAAAAACAAAUGUCUAUGGCUUCCGCAGUUUUGGUGCAAUCUACAGGACGUAAAUGAUGAAGAUAGUAUGUUAGACUUCAUAAAAUCCUUGCAAAUGUAGGAUCUUUUGCUGCAACAAUCCUUCUCUUUUGUUUGCGGUACAGAAGGAUUUCUGAUUCUUGUAAUGCCUUAGCUGGCACCAGCUUGGUGCUAAGCUUUCUCCUUUUUGUAUAUACAUAAGGCAAUUUGUUGCACGCAGGCUGUUGCAGGGGCAGUAACGCAGAGGACUAAAGAGAUUACUAUUCAAUUUCAUAUUGUUGGACUGUAAAUGGAGGAGUCAGCUAGAUACUUUAAAUAGAUGUACAGUUUAGCGCUGUCUAUAUGAAGAGGUCCUAGUACAUAUCCUUCCUUGAAGGCCAAAUUUGUUUAUCUGUAGUUACAGUUUGUUUUGUUUUUGAGAACUAACUCUUGACUAAGAGUUAGCUUGUAUAUUGAAAUACUUUGGUUGAAAUAAUUUUUUCUUACUUUUGAC